UGCCUGUCCCAAGUCAGGAGCCUCUAAUUUAGUGGUUGUCGUUUGUUUAUGUGUUACAUGUUUGUUUUUCGUUCAUUUUUUACAUAAAUAAGGCCGUUAGUUUUCUCGUUUGAAUUGUUUUACAUUGUCUUAUCGGGGCCUUUUAUAGCUCACUAUGCGGUAUGGGCUUUGCUCAUUGUUGAAGGCCGUACGGUGACCUAUAGCUGUUAAUGUCUGUGUCAUUUUGGUCUUUUGUGGAUAGUUGUCUCAUUGGCAAUCAUACCACAUCUUCUUUUUUAUAUACUGU
rnacentral:lncRNA from 1 species